rnacentral:lncRNA from 1 species
AAAGGAGAGGAGAAAGCUCUUGAAUGUUUGGUCACUUGGGGAAGAAAAUUGAAGGUAAGUUCAUGGUAGUUUGCUUCUAUCUUGAUGUUCAUGAGUUCUUCUUGAUUCUACCUUAACUCUUGAAGCAUAUUUUGGUUUUUAGUUGUGCUGUGAGCAUUUGGUCAUGAAUUAAAAUGAAGGAAAUGGUUGUUGUUUCAUGUUCUUUUGAUGAAAAAUGGAAGAUAGGUGAAGUUGAGCCAAACAAAUGAACAUGCAUGUGCCUUAAAUGCUAAAGGGAAAAAUUGGCUAACAUGUUGUGCUUUAAAAUGAUGAAAUGGAGAUUAUACUUAAGUAAAAUCAUAGAUAUGUGAUGAUUGAUUGGUGAUAUACAUGUUUAAAUAACAAGCAUGCAAAUUAGGUGUGAAAGAGUGAUUUGGUAAUAAUAAAUCUGCUUGGGACAGCAGCAGUAACGUGACUUUGGAAAAUCACCAUAAAUUGUGGGAGAUGAUUUAGAAGCUGCAUAAAUUAUGUAAUUAAAGCUUAAUGAGUCUAGUUUCAAAUGGACUAAACGAGAACAUAUUUUGAAUUCUGUACAAUGAGAAAUUUGAUUCGUAAUGAAGAGUGGUCAGAUUAGUCAAAUAGUGAAACAUGGGAAACUUUAAGAAAAAUCUGGUAUUGAUUGGCUAAACCAAAAAUUCUGAAAAUUUUAUGGAUAGAAUAUAUAUGAGUCUAUUUUCAGGUAAAAUUAACGGAACUUGAUUUGGAGUUUCGUAGCUCCAAUUAUAAACGAUUUAGUGACUGUUGUUCAGGAAGAUAGCUUGCAGUGAGAUUAUGAUUAUGUGGUAAACAUCGACAAAAAUUUGUUAAUGAGUUGCUUAUUGAUUUCUUAUAAGCUUACUAUGAUCUGUAGGUGUGGUUGGCCGAAUAUUGUAAGGGGUUAAUACGUAGUUUGUAUUUGAAUAGUUAGAUUAACGUGUUAGUAAUCCAAUUGUAGGCGGUUCGUGUGUGGAUCUCGUCAGCAUAUCGUCACAAACAGGUGUGUAACUAACACCCUCUUUCUUAGUCUGGAUCGGCAAAAGUCGAAAAGCCGAAAUGCCGAAAAUCGGUAUUUUGUAGAUUUGCGAGUGUGCGAAUGCUCGUGAGG